UACGUAGGUGACAAGCGUUGUCCGGAUUUACUGGGCGUAAAGAGCGCGCAGGCGGUCGAUCAAGUCGAGUGUGAAAGCCCCCGGCUCAACUGGGGAGGGUCAUUCGAUACUGAUCGACUCGAAGGCAGGAGAGGGUAGUGGAAUUCCAGGUGUAGCGGUGAAAUGCGUAGAUAUCGGGAGGAACACCAGUGGCGAAGGCGACUACCUGCCUGUUCUUGACGCUGAGGCGCGAAAGCUAGGGGAGCAAACGGG
rnacentral:rRNA from 1 species